GAGGAUAUAGCUCAGUGGUAGAGCACAUGCUUAGCAUGCACAGGCUCCUGGGUUCAAUCCCCAGUACUUCCA
rnacentral:tRNA from 1 species